AACUUCGGGAGAAGGGGGACCACGCCCGGUGAACACCUUUGCGGUGGGAGCUGGGGGUGGUCGCAGAGACCAGAGAGAAGCGACUGUUUACUAAAAACACAGGUCCGUGCGAAGACGUAAGUCGAUGUAUACGGACUGACGCCUGCCCGGUGCUGGAAGGUUAAGAGGACCGGUUAGCCGCAAGGCGAAGCUGAGAAUUUAAGCCCCAGUAAACGGCGGUGGUAACUAUAACCAUCCUAAGGUAGCGAAAUUCCUUGUCGGGUAAGUUCCGACCUGCACGAAUGGCGUAACGACUUCUCUGCUGUCUCGACCACAGACUCGGCGAAAUUGCAUUACGAGUAAAGAUGCUCGUUACGCGCGGCAGGACGAAAAGACCCCGGGACCUUUACUAUAGCUUGGUAUUGGCGUUCGAUUCGGUUUGUGUAGGAUAGGUGGGAGACUGUGAAGCAUGCACGCCAGUGUGUGUGGAGUCGUUGUUGAAAUACCACUCUGAUCGUAUUGGACGUCUAACCUCGGCCCAUGAUCUGGGUUAGGGACAGUGCCUGGUGGGUAGUUUAACUGGGGCGGUUGCCUCCCAAAGAGUAACGGAGGCGCCCAAAGGUUCCCUCAGCCUGGAUGGCAAUCAGGUGUUGAGUGCAAGUGCACAAGGGAGCUUGACUGUGAGACUGACACGUCGAGCAGGGACGAAAGUCGGGACUAGUGAUCCGGCACCGGCAUGUGGAAGCGGUGUCGCUCAACGGAUAAAAGGUACCCCGGGGAUAACAGGCUGAUCUUCCCCAAGAGUCCAUAUCGACGGGAUGGUUUGGCACCUCGAUGUCGGCUCGUCGCAUCCUGGGGCUGGAGUAGGUCCCAAGGGUUGGGCUGUUCGCCCAUUAAAGCGGCACGCGAGCUGGGUUUAGAACGUCGUGAGACAGUUCGGUCUCUAUCCGCCGCGCGCGUAAGAAACUUGCGGAAGGCUGUCCCUAGUACGAGAGGACCGGGACGGACGAACCUCUGGUGUGCCAGUUGUUCCACCAGGAGCAUCGCUGGUUAGCUACGUUCGGAAGGGAUAACCGCUGAAAGCAUCUAAGCGGGAAGCCUGUUCCAAGAUGAGGUUUCUCACCACCUUCGCGUGGUUAAGGCCCCCCACAGACCAUGGGGUUGAUAGGCCGGAACUGGAAGCGCAGCAAUGCGUGCAGGUGACCGGUACUAAUCGGCCGAGGACUUACACAU
rnacentral:ncRNA from 1 species